rnacentral:rRNA from 1 species
GAUGAACGCUGGCGGCGUGCCUAAUACAUGCAAGUCGAACGCACAGCGAAAGGUGCUUGCACCUUUCAAGUGAGUGGCGAACGGGUGAGUAACACGUGGACAACCUGCCUCAAGGCUGGGGAUAACAUUGGAGACAGAUGCUAAUACCGAAUAAAACUUAGUGUCGCAUGACACAAAGUUAAAAGGCGCUUUGGCGUCACCUAGAGAUGGAUCCGCGGUGCAUUAGUUAGUUGGUGGGGUAAAGGCCUACCAAGACAAUGAUGCAUAGCCGAGUUGAGAGACUGAUCAGCCACAUUGGGACUGAGACACGGCCCAAACUCCUACGGGAGGCUGCAGUAGGGAAUCUUCCACAAUGGGCGAAAGCCUGAUGGAGCAACGCCGCGUGUGUGAUGAAGGCUUUCGGGUCGUAAAGCACUGUUGUACGGGAAGAACAGCUAGAAUAGGGAAUGAUUUUAGUUUGACGGUACCAUACCAGAAAGGGACGGCUAAAUACGUGCCAGCAGCCGCCGUAA